rnacentral:lncRNA from 12 species
CGGGGCAGUUGUGAAACUCUUGGAAUUGCUGUUGGUUCUAAUUAUUUGGAAAAAUCUACUUACGGAUGCUUUUGGAAUGGUUUCACUGCUGAACGAGCUUAACUCCAGAGCCCACAAGAGAAAGGCAGAACUAACAGCAGGGAUAUCACUCGAAACUUUUUCCGUUGGUGGUUGCAGAUUGAAGGAAGAACUGAACCCAUUUUCUUGCUAAUCCAGUGCCAAAUGCUGAAAACUUGGACAACUCCGAAGACAAGAAAACACUGGAAACGUCAACGGUCCCACGUUCCAAAGGGAACCAUGGUUUACAGCACUUCAAACAGCCUGAUUGGAUUUGGCAUGCAAGAGGAACCUAUUUGCUAUUCCUGCUUUAAAGAAACACGCCAAGAGCCUGCCAACACAGAACAUAUUUAAUCAUCUUUGCACGAGUGUGUGUUGGGUACAUGCAUAAUGUGUAUGCAAAUACAGUGUGCUUAGAACAUGCAAUUCUCUCCCUUCCCUCCCUCCCACUCCCUCCCUAAAUAUACAAUUUCAUGAAAACCACACCUGUGACUGCUUAUUGGAACGGGAAGGGGUCCAACUUAUGUUCUCAAAUUUAUAACAUUUGCCUGUGAAUUUCUAAACCGUGCUUCCUGUAAUAAACUACAGAGCCUGGC